rnacentral:rRNA from 1 species
GCAUAUAACUAAGCGGAGGAAAAGAAACUAACCAGGAUUCCCUCAGUAACGGCGAGUGAAGCGGGAACAGCUCACCAUGAGAAUCUGAAAGGUUUUGCCUUUCCGAGUUGUAGUCUCUAGAAGCGCAGCCAGCAGACGGAGAGGGUUAAGUCCCUUGGAACAGGGCGCCUGAGAGGGUGACAGUCCCGUUCAUACUCUCUCCAUUCUGCGUACGGCGUGCUCUCAGUGAGUCGAGUUGCUUGGGAUUGCAGCUCAAAGUGGGUGGUAAAUUCCAUCUAAGGCUAAAUAUGGGUGGGAGACCGAUAGCGAACAAGUACUGUGAAGGAAAGAUGCAAAGAACUUUGAAAAGAGAGUUAAAGAGUGCCUGAAAUUGCUGAAAGGGAAGGAAAGGAAGUCAGUGUGAUUCUCUGUCAUUUUCCCACUCGCCUUCGGGAGAGUGGCCGUGGCAGGGAGUUGGUCAGGAUGGGUUCGAGCUGCGGGAUUAGGGUGUGGGGAAGGUUGGUCGCACCUCGGUGUGACCG